UAUUGUGAUACAUUAAAAUCAGUUUGCAAUUCUUUCGGAAAUAUGCAAUUUUGAUCGAUGAAGUCGAUGGAUUUAUACAAAGAAUUGAUUGAAAUAGAUUACAUACUUUAAAUUUUAAAGUUUAAAAUAAUAGAAAAAUAUACAAAAUGUAAAAAAAUUAGUAGUGCAUGCAUCACUUAGUGGAACAUGAACUAAAGAAAAGAAACAUAGUACUGCAACAUCUAAUAUUAAAGAAUGUUUCACAGAAUAUUCUUUAGAAGAUAAAGUUGAAGCUUUAAAAAACAUGCUCUCUUAUAAUGAAAAACAUGGACAAAUUGGACCAUCAUAUACAAAUAAAAUAUGUAAUUUAAAAAAAACAACUGGUAUCAAAGAAUGCUUACAAGGAAAUGAAGAAACACCAUUUCAAACACUUAUUUCAGAACUAAGAAAUACUGUAAUGAAUAGUUAUUGGAAUAAAGAAAUUGGAAAAACACGUUAUCAAGUUCCAAACCUUCCUAUAGGAUUAAAUCCACUGGACACAACUUUUGGGAAAAAAAUUAAGUCUGUUUUUAUUAAUUCUGUAGAAGCAACUGUGGCUGAACUUCUUAAAGAAAAAGUGGAUAAAAAUAAUAUAUUAGAGCAAGAUAUUUUAGAGAUGUAUAAAAAAAGUCACAACAGUUAUUUGCCUGCAGAACAAAUUAAAAGACGUUACAAAAAACCUUUUGAUCAAAAUUUAUAUUUUGGAAAACCAACUAAUACUAGUACAGAAGGUGCUCGAGUAAAGAAACUUUUAACAUGGGUUAUUACUGAUGUCAAUAAAAUAAUUAAUUCCGAGUUAGAUGAUUUUAUAGAAGAUUCACGUUCUGAUAUCAAAGAAGUAAGAAAUUUGAAAAAUACACAUAUAUGUACAAACGUAGUAUCCAGUAAAAUAAAUGAAAAAAAAGGAGAGAACAUACAGAGUAUUUUAAAUGAAUGUUCCCCAAAUAAUGAUCAGAAGAUAAUGCAAUACAACUACUUAGAGUACAUAAAUAGUUUACGUCAAAGACUUAAAAAACGUGUUCCAGAAAUUCCAUUUGCCGAUGUUUUUGAAGAUUUAGUUAAUCUUGAUAAAGAUUACACAGAAAUAUUACCAGAAAAUGAAGUCUUUCCUGUAUUAGCUAAAUAUAAAAUAUAUGUAAAUGAAAUACUUUUAAUGCCAUUAUUGGAUCUUCUUCAAAUACGCAAAGGGAAAAAUGUGAAAAACACCUAUAGAAUGCCAAAAUUAUAGUACUACAUAUAAUGAAACAAUAGGGAAUAUAGAAGAAAAAAGUAUUAUAAAUGUUUCUGCAGCUGGGAUUCCAUCUAAUAUCACAGGAGAAAAAACUACUGCCUUCAAUCUAAUAUUCCCAAAUAUUUUCACAAGAUAUGGU
rnacentral:misc_RNA from 1 species